rnacentral:rRNA from 1 species
CGGUAAUACGUGGGAUGCAAGCGUUAUCCGGAUUUAUUGGGCGUAAAGAGUUCGUAGGCGUGUUGCCAAGUUUCGUUUGAAAGACUGAGGCUUAACCUCGGGACCGGGCGAAAAACUGGCAGCAUCGAGUUAAUCAGGGGGUACUGGAACUGAUAGUGUAGCAGUGAAAUGCGUUGAUAUUAUCAGGAACACCAAGGGCGAAGGCAGGUACCUGGGAUUACACUGACGCUGAGGAACGAAAGCUAGGGGAGCGAAAGGGAUUAGAGACCCCUGUAGUCCUAGCCGUAAACUAUGUCCGCUUGAUCCUUGGCCGCAAGGUUGGGGGUCGGAGCUAACGCAUGAAGCGGACCGCCUGGGGAGUACGACCGCAAGGUUAAA